CUCAAGUAGUUUAAAGAUGAAAGGUAGAAGAGAGAUAGGGCAGAGGUUAUCAAGACUGUAGGGAUCAGACAAGAGCAUGUUUAGUUGAGAAGGAAAGAUUCCAGAUGAGAGCAAGAGAUUAAACAGAUGAGUUAAGGCUUUGAUUAGACAGGGACUGGCAUUGUGGAGAAGUUUGAAAGGAAUGGGAUCAAGGUGGCAGGUAGUAAGGUGAGAAGAAGCCAAAAGUUUUGAGACUUCCUCAUCAGUGGCAGGGGAGAAGGAGCACAGAAGAGACUGUGGACUGUGAAGGAAGGGUGGUGAAUAUCUAGGUGAGUUUGUCACCUCUGAUGCUGUCAAUUUUGUUUUUGAAGUGCACAGCAAUAUCUUGAGCAGAGACAAAUGUGCACGGAGGAGGUUGGGAAAGGGAAAGAAGAGUUAAAGUUAGGAUUUAAAGGUAGAGAAAAGUUGUGCAGGUUUUUUUAGAAAAUAAAUUUAAUGAGUGUAAUUAAGUAUGUUUGUUUGGAUAGGGAAAGGCUGAUGUUAAAGGAGUGCAGGGCUGAUUUGUAGCUCCAGAAGUCCGAUUCUAAGAGAGAAUUGCGCAAGCGACACUGAAGUACACAUGAAUGUCUUUGGAGAGCUUUUGUAUGAGCAGUAUGCCAGGGUUAAAGUGGUUUGGGUCUAGUGCAUUUAGUUUUGGCAGGAGCAAGUUCAUUGAGAGCAGUUCAUUGAGUGUGCUGUAGAAGACAGAGGUAGCCACAUAAGGACAGGAGGUGGAUGAGAUAUUAGAGUGAAGAGAGUCAAAGGAUGAGGAGAGAUGUGACACAUCUAGAGCUUGCAAGUCCUUGUAGGUAUGUGUUUGAUGAAUAGCAGGAGGUGUGGAGGGAGUUAAUGAGAGUUGAAAUGUGAGCAUAUUGUGAUCAGAGAGAGGAAACAGUAAGUUGGUAAAAUUGGAGAUUGAACAUAGUCUGGUUAAUAUAAGAUCCAGAGAGUUCCCUUUGGAAUGAGAGGGGGAGUAUGAGCACAGAGUUAAGCCUAGGAAGGAUGUUAGUGAAAGAAGUUUAGAGACAGCAGGGUUGUUAAAUGUGUUAACGGGUAUAUUUAAGUCACCUAAUAUGUGGAUGGGGCUUCAGGGAUAUUUUACUAAAUAGUAAUGAAUUUUGAAAAACAAUUCAUAGAUACAUGGCUUUUCUUGUUGAGAGAAGCACCACUACUCUGUAAAAGCCAAACAAGAAUUCUACCAUUUGACGUGACAACUGACAGACAUUUUGUGUUCAUCUCAUUGCAGCAAAAAGAAAACAAAGCUACUAUAAAAAUAAUGUACAGCAAAUACUGAAAGAUUACUCCAGACUAUUAAUAGUAUUAUUACUAACUAGAAAUCCGCACCAUUUUCAGCAGUGCUGUACAACAGAAAUGUGUCUGCAUCACACAUACAAAUGAAAUACAAAUACUGACUGAUUCACUGUGCUGUUAGCUGUGUUUAUUUUGCUCAACAUGUCCUGGCACUUUCUCCCUGCCUUUUCUUUCUGCUCUUCAGAAGAGAAAGCUGCAAUAAACCUGACAUGCUGGAGAGCGAAGUAGAGAGAGAGAGUGCUGCAGGGAGCUGCUAAAAGAGAAAAAUCUAACAAAAGAAAAAAGAAAGGAUAAUUCUUUUAUCUGGACUAUUUAACAAAAGAGGCAAUGAACAGGAAAGUGUCACAAGUCUCUAUAUUACCGGAAGAAUAACACUGUGGAAACUUGUUCUAACUAUUAAACGUUUCUGAAUGAUCCUGCACUGUUUUUGUGUUCAAGAACAGAGUGUUCUCUGAUAAACAGAGGGAGUAUUGUACAGUUGAGUAUAAUUGUAAUAAUCAGAAUGAAGCACUUGGACUUUUCACUGUAUCUUAUAUCUCUGAGUCGUCUUCCUCUGUGCUUGCUUGUAAAAGGGAAGAAAGAAUGUAGGAGAGUGCUGAUAGUUGGAUGUCCCUUAGACGGAUGUACUUGCAGGUAAAGAAAAGGAAGGGUCAAAGAGAACUGAAUGAUUCAGGUGGACAAGCAGCAUGAGAUGCCAGUAGAAGAACGACUGGAAGUAACCAAUAGAGGAGACAUGUGGAGCAGUGCUUUACUGAAGCACAGUGGGGGGCAGAAGCUGCUAUCAGGGAUUAGUGCCGAGCAGUCCGCUGAGCUUUGCAACAGCAAAGAAUGCUGAGAUAGGCCAAUUGACAAUAAAGCAAUAGCUAAAAGGUGAUAGCGGCAAAUAGUUGAGCAUGUCAGGAGAGGAUUCCCGGCAAUGGUAAAUGUAGAUGUGGUAUAGAUAGCAAGCAAAAACAAUCAGGCAAGUGUGAUAUAGAUAUUUCAGUCCAUGAAAAAUUCAGGUCAGUCAAACCAAUUCAAACACCAAUCCAGAGAGUAAGAUAAGGCAAAUCCAGAAAACUGUCCAUUACACUAUACAUAGGAAGUCCUAAACUAUAAUAACUGCACAGCUCGGCUGGAUGUUGGGCUGAAUUUCCGCCACCUAACAUAAGUGCAUGUUGGCCCUUUAAUUGGAUCACAGACUUUUUGUUUUGUUCUUGGAGUACAAAAUGUUCUCAGUUUGGUUAGGUAUUGUAUCUCAGACUUGUGAAUUUAUGUCAUUAAAGAAUGAUUUCCUUUGGUCCCAAGUUUUAUUCAUUGGGAUUCAUGAAGAAAUAUACUUUAUAAAACUUACAAAUAGAAGUCUACAAUUUGUAAAGCAUUAUAAAGAUGAUUACAGAUGUGUUUGAUCUCCCAUAGCUCCAUUGAAAUGACCCAAAGCCGUGUUUGAUCAUAAGUAUAUUUGGACUAUCAUUAGUAUGUAUGCUGUACUCUUUGUAAAAAUAAAGUACUCCUGUUUAUA